GCAAGUCGAGCGGUAGAGAGAAGCUUGCUUCUCUUGAGAGCGGCGGACGGGUGAGUAAUGCCUAGGAAUCUGCCUGGUAGUGGGGGAUAACGUUCGGAAACGGACGCUAAUACCGCAUACGUCCUACGGGAGAAAGCAGGGGACCUUCGGGCCUUGCGCUAUCAGAUGAGCCUAGGUCGGAUUAGCUAGUUGGUGAGGUAAUGGCUCACCAAGGCUACGAUCCGUAACUGGUCUGAGAGGAUGAUCAGUCACACUGGAACUGAGACACGGUCCAGACUCCUACGGGAGGCAGCAGUGGGGAAUAUUGGACAAUGGGCGAAAGCCUGAUCCAGCCAUGCCGCGUGUGUGAAGAAGGUCUUCGGAUUGUAAAGCACUUUAAGUUGGGAGGAAGGGCAGUUACCUAAUACGUGAUUGUUUUGACGUUACCGACAGAAUAAGCACCGGCUAACUCUGUGCCAGCAGCCGCGGUAAUACAGAGGGUGCAAGCGUUAAUCGGAAUUACUGGGCGUAAAGCGCGCGUAGGUGGUUAGUUAAGUUGGAUGUGAAAUCCCCGGGCUCAACCUGGGAACUGCAUUCAAAACUGACUGACUAGAGUAUGGUAGA
rnacentral:rRNA from 2 species